AAAGCUCGUAGUUGGACUUAGGGGUGGGUCGGCCGGUCCGCCUCACGAUGAGCACCGGUCUGCUCGUCCCUACUACCGGCGAUACGCUCGUGGCCUUAAUUGGCCGGGUCGUUCCUCCAGCGCUGUUACUUUGAAGAAAUUAGAGUGCUCAAAGUAGGCCUACGCUUGUAUACAGUAGCAUGGGAUAACAUCAUAGGAUUUCGAUCCUAUUGUGUUGGCCUUCGGGAUC
rnacentral:ncRNA from 1 species